AUACGGAGGAUGCAAGCGUUAUCCGGAUUUAUUGGGCGUAAAGGGUGCGCAGGCGGAAGAUUAAGUCGGCGGUGAAAUUUUGCAGCUCAACUGUAGAAGGGCCUUCGAAACUGGUGUUCUUGAGUGUGGAAGAGGUAGGAGGAAUUUGGCGUGUAGCGGUGAAAUGCAUAGAUAUGAGUCAGAACACCGAUUGCGAAGGCAUCUCGCGAAGCAGUGAUUGACGCUGAGGCACGAAAGCGUGGGGAUCAAACAGGAUUAGAUACGCUGUUAGCCCACGCAGUAAACGAUGAUAACUAACCGUGGGCGAUAGACAGCCAGUGGCCAAGCGAAAGCGAUAAGUUAUCCGCCUGGGGAGUACGGCCGCAAGGGUGAAACUCAAAUGAAUUGGCGGGG
rnacentral:rRNA from 1 species